GAUGAAGAACGUAGCGAAAUGCGAUAAGUAGUGUGAAUUGCAGAAUUCAGUGAAUCAUCGAAUCUUUGAACGCACAUUGCGCCCCUUGGUAUUCCAUGGGGCAUGCCUGUUCGAGCGUCAUUUGUACCCUCAAGCUAUGCUUGGUGUUGGGUGUUUGUCCUCUCCUUUUGCGAUUGGACUCGCCUUAAAGACAUUGGCAGCCAGUGUAUUGGUCUUGAAGCGCAGCACAUUUUGCGAUUCUUGCUGAUAAUCACUAGCGUCCAGUAAGCCUAUUUUAACACUUUUGAUCUCGGAUCAGGUAGGGAUACCCGCUGAACUUAAGCAUAUCAAUAAGCGGAGGA
rnacentral:misc_RNA from 1 species